GCCGCUGUAGCUCAGCUGGUAGAGCAACUGAUUCGUAAUCAGUAGGUCGGUGGUUCGAGUCCACUCAGCGGCACCA
rnacentral:tRNA from 1 species